GAACACAAACUUGAGGACCUACGCUGACCUUCUUCUUCAUCAAAAUAUUUCAGCCAUUACCUCACCAUCUUCUUCAACCUUGGAACACAAGACAAGAACUAAACCCUAGAACUUAGCAAUCACCUUCAUGGAAGACUACAGCACAUGAGGAAAACCCUAAUAUCCUUCUCUUUCAACAAACCAUAACCACCUGAACCUCCAUAGCCGUCGCCGCUCCCUCCCUCCCUCAUCUCCUUCACCUUACACCGCUAAACACACAGAAAUU
rnacentral:lncRNA from 1 species